CCCCCCCCCCCCCCCCCGGAACUACCUGAAACUCCUCAAUACAUCAAGAAGGACCUUGCCUGGAUAAAGUCCCUGCCCAUGGUGCAGUGCCUGGAUGGUUGGUGGCACUCUGCAGAUGGUAAAAUUAUUUUACCAAGACAGCUGGGCCAAAGAACACUCAAAAUGAUCCAUCAGGCCUCCCACAUGGACAUGUAAAGAAUGUGGGACCUAUUGAGGCAGUCUGGGAUAAAAAUACAGGGAAGAAACCAGGAGAUUUCAAACAAACAUUGUCUCUGGAUACAAGGCUUGCCAGCUCACAAAUGCCACAGGGAACCCAAAGAAUCUAUGGACAAUGCUUUGGUGGGGGGAAAGCCAGGCACCUACUGGGAAGUAGACUUCACUGAGGUAAAGUCCCGCAAGUAUGGGUACAAAUAUCUCUUAGUGUUUGUAGACACCUUCUCAGGUUGGACAGAGAAAUUCACAACAAAGUUUGAAACUGCACAGUUAGUGGCCAAGAAGCUAUUGGAAGACAUCUUGCUGAGGUAUGGAUUCCCAACCGUGAUAGGAUCAGAUCAUGGACCAGCUGUUGUGUUCAAGGUAAGUCAGAAUUUAGCCACUGUCCUGGGGAGUGAUUGGAAACUACAUUGUGCAUACAGACUGCAGAGUUCAGGCCAAAUAGAAAGAAUGAAUAGAACCCUAAAAGAGACUUUAACUAAAUUAGCCCUAGAGACUGGUGCAAACUGGGUAGCCCUCCUCCCUUUUGCUCUGUUCCGAGUAAGGAAGUCCUCCUACCAGAUGGGAUUGACUCCAUAUGAGAUGAUGUUUGGCUCUCCCCUGCCUAUUGUCCCUAGUCUCCAGACUGAACUAGUGACUGAGCUGGAUGACCUGGACCUCCUGGAAGCCAUGCAAGGAGUCCAUUGGGCUCACAAGCAUGUGUGGCCCAAACUUCAAGCCCUUUAUGAGUCUGGUGUUCCCCCUUAACCUCACAGGUUCCAUUCCAAGGCACCGCCAAGGAUCCCCAGAGUCUCAUUGGAAAGGGCCCUAUAUCAUCUUGCUGACAACACCAACCACCAUCAAAGUGAAUGGUGUUGCUACCUGGAUCCACUACACCUAUGCCAGGCCAGCAGAUCUUUUCACCCUGAGGUACAACUAUCACAGUGAAGGAUGGGAUGCAUCAAGAGACUGGGACAAUUCACUCAAACUCUGGUCUGGCACUACUGCCUUACCAACUGCUACUCCAGAUGUGGACCAGGCUUUGUCCAUGGCCAUCAAGCCCAAUUCCUAUGUUUUGCUGAUAAUCCUCACCUGCUCCCUCCUGCUUCUUGUCUGAGGAGGAUCCUUUGUAAUGACAGGUUGAAGAUGCUGCAGAGAAGGUCGUGAGAGUUCAUCUGGUGCAGCCACUCUCCCUCUCAUCGGCCUCAACCAGAUGAAUCAUGGUGCUGCCGACACAGUAUUUCAUGAUCUUUCACUCUGUGCUGCUCACUUGGGUCUUUCUUAUCACCUUGUACUGUUUCUCUUGGAGCUCCCUGGUGGGAUUUUCCCUAAACAUAGAACCACUUGAACUAGAGAUGGAAAAGAACGGGGUUAUAUACCCAUCUCUAGCAUAGGAAACAGGAUAACUAAAUCUCCUUAGUGGGAGUGUGAAGUUUUUACUAUAUAUAUAUAUAUAUAACUUAUCAGUACAUAGGUCAGUGUGACACACACUAGGAAGGCCUCCCCCUCCCCCUAAGAUAUUCACCUACAAGUUAAAUUCUGUUAAGAAUAUUAAUUUUGUAAUUGAUAUUUAUUACAAUCCCCAUACUAGGCAGCCUUCUCUAGAACAAAAGAAAAAUUGGGUAUAUUAUUUUUUUCAGGACACUAUAUGAUAAAUAGGAACUAUUUCAUAAUAGAAAAGGUGAUAUUUUAUAACAUUAUUACUAUCAUAGGUCAUUUUUUGUGACAUGCACUAGGUAGUCCAGCAAUGCCCACAUGCACACUGCAGACAGAGAACCCGGAAGCUGCUCAGUCCCACAGGCUGGCUGCCCCUGCAGUGACAAUCUGGCAGUGAAAGCCAGAAGGUCCUGAAAAGCUGGUGCUACUGAGUCCACACAACCCUGAUGCAGGCUCUGGGUCAGUGCUGCUCUCCACUGUGCACAGAGAAGCUCCUUCUGCACAUCCAGAACCUGUGAUGGGAGGAGAAUGAACUGACACAAGUUUUCUCUGACUCCACAUGGGCACUUUUGCACACGUGCACUAGCACUCACACACAUGUGACACAUACACAGUGACAGCAUAAGGACCCUAAAGUAUGGAGAGUUUGCUGCUAAAAACAACUUUAUUUUUGAGGCAGGGUCUAACUAUGUAGCAAACCUGGAAUGGAACUUACUAUGUAGACCAGGC